rnacentral:rRNA from 1 species
UCAACGGCCGCGGUAUUCCUGACCGUGCUAAGGUAGCACAAUAAUGUGCCUCUUAAUUAGAGGAUAGAAUGAAUGAAUUAACAUGAAAGGCUCUGUCUCUUUUAUACAUAGUGAAAUUUAGUUUCAGGUGAAAACUCCUGAAUUUUUAAUAAAGACAGAAAGACCCUAAAAGCUUUUAUUAAACUAUGACGUUAAUAGCUAAAUAUUUAACUGGGGCGAUUAUAAGUAAAAACACUUCACACAAGUAGAUAUAUUAAUCACAUAAAUUAUCUAAUAACACACAAGUAAGUUACUUUAGGGAUAACAGGCUAAUAUUUUUUAAGAGCACACAUCAACAAAAAUGUUUAGCACCUCGAUGUUGGCUUAGGAAACCCACUAUAUGCAGAAGUAUAGCUGGGGGGUUUGUUCAACCUUCAAUUUCC